rnacentral:rRNA from 1 species
UACGUAGGCAGCAAGCGUUGUUCGGAGUUACUGGGCGUAAAGGGUGUGUAGGCGGUUUUCUAAGUCUGGUGUGAAAUCUCCCGGCUCAACUGGGAGGUGCGCCGAAAACUGGAAGGCUAGAGUGCGGGAUGGGAGAGUGGAAUUCCUGGGUGUAGCGGUGAAAUGCGUAGAUAUCAGGAGGAACACCUGUGGUGUAGACGGCUCUCUGGACCGCAACUGACGCUGAGACACGAAAGCGUGGGUAGCAAACAGGAUAGAUACCCUG